rnacentral:rRNA from 1 species
GACGAGUCUCACAAACGUUAUUCGGAAUUACUGGGCUUAAAGGGUGCGUAGGCGGUGAAGUAAGUCGGAUGUGAAAUACCUUAGCUUAACUAGGGAACUGCACUCGAUACUACUUUGCUAGAGUAAGACAGAGGUGAGUGGAACUGAGGGUGGAGCGGUGAAAUGUGCAGAUAUCAGGAAGAACACCCGUGGCGAAGGCGGUUCUCUGGGACGGUACUGACGCUGAGACGCGAAAGCGUGGGGAGCGAACAGG